CCUAAUUUCCCGCUUCUUGACUCGGUAAGUUGUUUUUUUACGCAUCUAAAUUCAAAGAUCCAUAUCCUACCAUCGGCGCUCUUUGGCUCUCACCAGCGCUGUCAUCAACUCCACUACAGGAGCUGGUGGUUUACAUCAUGCCAAGAAGUUUGAAGCAUCUGACUUUUGUUACAUAAAUAACUUGGUUUUGGGAAUUUUGGAAGUAUUGUGCCCAUGUUAAAAGCUUAGCAAAGGAACCAAAAAUGCUGUUUUGAAGUAGAUAAUGUCAAGCUGUGGGGUGCUUAUGAUGGUCUUAAUUUGGCUAGAACCUUAGGAGUAAGGAAGGAUGUAGCUAAAUUGGGAUCUCCAAAUUACUUGCACUUAUCGUGAAGGGAAUCGAGCUGCAGAUGCAAUGGUAAAAGAAGCUGGUUCCAUGAGAUUGGGGCUUUACUACUUUUACUCUCCUCCAGAGGCUUUACUGCAAAUUUUACAAGAGGAUACCAUUCGUUUUGCAAUUCCUAGAAUGGCCAUAGGUUAAUUUGUUUUCAUUCCAUACUAUAGCAAAAUAAAAUGUUGUUUUGGAAAAAGGACUUGAAUUGACUAUAUAUUCAAAUUUGUAUAAAAGGAAUAA